AAGUCGUAACAAGGUUUCCGUAGGUGAACCUGCGGAAGGAUCAUUAUUAAUUUUCUUGAAGGCGGCUGUGCGCGUUAAACCGCGCGGCUGUUUUUCUUGUGAACUGGGGCUGCUGGUUAAGCAUUUAUCGUUUUUCCAGCGGCCUGGCUUUAAUGCUCUUGUGUUAAUUUUUUUUGUUUUUACUUUUUUUAAGCUUAACCGCUUAAGAAAAUAAUUACAAGACAACUUUCAGCAAUGGAUCUCUUGGCUCUU
rnacentral:misc_RNA from 1 species